GGGGCCUUAGUCUGCUAUUACAAUUGUGCUCAGUGAUCGACCAUUCUGACACAAUUGUAAUAGAAGACUAAGGCCCC
rnacentral:pre_miRNA from 1 species